rnacentral:lncRNA from 1 species
UUUUGAGUCUUUGUUAUUGAAGUUAAAAUAUGAGCGGUUCCUAAGUGACGUGCAUGAUGUCUAUCUUCCAAUUACUUUGCUUUAGGAGUCAAUGGGUUCUUCAUAAAAGUGGAUGGUUGGUAACAUCAUUAAGUGUCUUUAAUGAAUCAGACUUUGUAUUUUUAUUGAAUCAGAAUUUAUAUUGUUAAUUGGAUAACUAUUUGGCC